CCUGUCCCCUGUCCCCUGUCCCCAGUCCGUCCGGGUCCGUGCCACAGUCCCGCAGAGCCGCGGCCGGGGAGCACCAUGGUGGUGACACUGGGCUACUGGGACAUCCGGGGGCCCCCGAUUUUGACCCGAGCGAUUGGACCAACGAGAAGGAGAAACUGGGGCUCGACUUCCCCAAUCUCCCGUAUCUCAUCGAUGGCCCCGUCAAGC